CAGUAAAUUAUUACUAUGUUCUACAUUUGUUUUUCUUCUCAAAACUUAUUUUAUUCCAUUUCAGAACUUAUUUUGAAAACUUACUUAUAUUCAUCGCUAAUUCGCUAUUUAUACCUUUCUCUAUCUAUUUUUUCUCUUAUCUAUUUAAUUAACCAGUUUUAAUUCAGGUUUCUGGAAAAUUCCUAGCCCUCACUAGAGGUUCGCAUUUGACAUCCGCUACCAUUAACCAAUCAGAUGCGUUCAAUCUACUGGAUUAACCAAUCAAAUGCGUAGUGUAAGUCAUUCAGUGAAAUGAAUAUAACUGGAACUACCUUCAGAUAAACUGCCUAUCUUUUUCUUGAAGCCAAGACAAGAGCACAAGACCCGCGUGUUUAUGCCUCGCGAGACCAAUUCAGGGACGAGCAUGCCGUUUUAGUAAGAAAAAAACUAAAAGUAAAGUCUACUAGGAAGUUUUACCUAAAUAAAUGCAUUAAUAGAAAGGUUUCAGCGCUGUUAAAAAGAUUUUUAAGCCGGUUUUCAAGAAUACAUAUUCAUGUUGACGGAUUGACCGCGCUCUUCGCAUGCGUGAAAAGACUGAAACUGGUCUUCAAGUUUGGUUUUAAAUUUCUGGUGGGAAGUAGCGUUCCAGUUAUAUUCAUUUCAGUGGUGAGAGGUAAGGGAGUGUUCAUUAUUUAUACCCGGGGUUGGUACCGAAGAGAAAUUGGUUGGGUAAGCCAUUUUUCUGGGGUAUGAAAGGUUGGGUAAAUAUUUUUUGAACAAAGCCUAUGAUUGGGUAAAUUAUUUUCAAUACAAACCUUCAAUUGAACAAAAUAUGAAAAUCCUUUAUUUAACAAAAUAGGUCAUUCCAGGAAAUAUCCAUUCAUUCCCCACAAAGAAAACUAAACUCCAACU